GGCCGCCUGGCGAAAUGGCAUCGCGUCUGACUACGAUUCCAAUUGCCUUGGAACAAAUCAGGAGAUUGCAGGUUCGACCCCUGCGGUGGUCA